rnacentral:rRNA from 1 species
AGAGCGAACGCUGGCGGCAGGCCUAACACAUGCAAGUCGAGCGCGUGUAGCAAUACACGAGCGGCAGACGGGAGAGUAACACGUGGGAACGCGCCCUUCGGUUCGGAAUAACUCAGGGAAACUUGAGCUAAUACCGGAUACGCCCUUACGGGGAAAGAUUUAUUGCCGAAGGAACGGCCCGCGUCCGAUUAGCUAGUUGGUGAGGUAACGGCUCACCAAGGCGACGAUCGGUAGCUGGUCUGAGAGGAUGACCAGCCUCACUGGGACUGAGACACGGCCCAGACUCCUACGGGAGGCAGCAGUGGGGAAUAUUGCACAAUGGGCGCAAGCCUGAUGCAGCGACGCCGCGUGGGGAUGACGGCCUUCGGGUUGUAAACCCCGUUUCAGCACAGACGAAGCGCAAGUGACGGUAUGUGCAGAAGAGCACCGGCCAACUACGCGCCAGCAGCCGC